GCAGAUUAUGGUACCCCACAGCCUGAGUGCCAGAAAUAAACCAUGGUGCCUAUGGAGAAUCUGAGAUGAUGAGGCAGAUGUGAGUUCAGACAAUUGAGCUGAGGAAGCAGCAUUGUCAACUGCGUUCCUCCUCUCAAGGGUGAUGGUACCUGUGGGAGGAUGGAUGAAUGACAGGAGAGAAGUGUAAUGCAUGCUCACAGAAAUAUCCCUGAGACAAUUCUAGCUGCUUUCCCAAAGCUAAGGGCUUCCAGGGAUGUUUGCACAUAGGUUGGCAAACAACAAGGAUGGGUCAGGCUGGGAGAGAACUGUGGUCUGGAUGACCUGGGAUUCUCAGAAUGAGGUGGGUGAGGCCUCUGUGACCUCACAAUAGAACCCUGCCCUAGUAAUGCCAGGGUCUUACCUGAGGACAAGCCAGAGUCCAGAAGGAGGGCUUGCAUCACAGCAAGUGCAUGUGACUUGGUAAGUUUGGGCUGUUUUCUGGGAUGGACACUACCUGAAAUUAAUCAUGUGAGUGACUCACUCAGUUUGAGGCACUUCUUUAUUGAGAUCUUAAAUGGGGACAAUGAAACAUAUGUAAAAUGACCCAACAUAGUGAGGUAUUUGAAAUGUCCCAGCCUGAGGACAGCUCAUCCUAAGAAGAGCUAGAAACAGCAGGAGUCAGAAGUCUCAUAGCAGUGGGACUGGCCCUUCAAGACCACAUGGAGGGAAACCCCUCCACUCACAGAGAGAGAGGCCUUGGGAUGAAGCCACACAGGUGGAUCUGCACCAGGACUCCAGCCUCUGACCUAGGUGAUAAGGAUGGAGGGUUCCUGUUUAUGUACCCACAUUAGACAAUCACACGUAGGUUGAUCAGGGAUUGUGGGCAAAGCAUCCCUGGCACUGUUAUCUGUUCUUCCCUGAUAAUUCUGGUCCCUGGUGGUAACAAUGUUUUCAUUUAUACUAAGAUAGACAUAGACAGCUGCCAUGAUUUGGGAACAGAAUCCAAUGUCACUGUCACAGGAAGCACCGUGGCAGUACUCUACUUCUAAUUCUGUGCUUAUACAGGUUUUCACUUGGAUGUGUUUAGAGGAAUCUUUAGGCUCUGUGGAGGGAGAAAUAUACACAGGAUUCCUGGGAGGAGGGCAUAAUUUAACCUCACUGUGCUAUACUGGGUGCAGGGUGAUAAAGGAUAUGAGGCACAAUGUGGUUCUUUAACAGGACCUGUGCUAUAGCUGUAGAAAAAGCUGCAGUAAGUAUCUGUAAGAUGUGUGACAAAGAACUAGUGUAACAAGGACUCAGGAAGACAACACCCACAACUCACUGGAGAAAGAGGCCAUGGGAUGUCCACACCCAGCCUGUAUCACAUGAGAAGACUUCAGGCUCCAGCCUGGUGCAGAAUAAACUCUGCCAAUGGGACCAAGCCAGGGACAACCAUCAGCUAAGGCAGCCCACAGUGUCAGGACAGGUAGGGAGUCUGUCAAAAUCAUUACUGCAGGGGUCUGAAUGGACUUUCCUUCUAGACAGCAUGAUCCUCAUCUUUUGUAACUAUCGGGUGGGCCCAGCAUGGCUGAAGUCAGGGACACAAUAAGAAACACAACUACAGCCAUCUCCCUAACCUAUCCACAUUUACAUUUAAAUUAUAUGUAAAAUUUAAUGAAGAGAGGCCUCUGAAGAGAGUGUCAACUCAGUGCAUAGUCUAUCACUUAAGGCUUGAGCCUCCAGAAUGUUAAAGAUAAUUACUGGCACCACCCACCUGUUUGUGACAUCCCCACAGGGAGCACAUGCUUCACAGGUAGGAGUGCUUCUCAUGGGCUUCUCUAGACAUGAACCUUCCUGGCAAUCAUCUUUACAUUCGGCUCAUAGGCCCUUCCCAGAAUGGCCACAGACACUGAUGCCAUACUCUAUCCGUUUUAUUUUCAAACUUAAGCUUUUACUGAGGAGACCUGAGUUAAUAUAUUUGUGGUUUAAUCUGUAUGUAUGUCUGAGUGGAUUUUGUCAAAUUUCUUCAACUAACCACAACCUGUAUUUGUGAGAAAAGGUGACAGCUGCUGAGGCAGAGUCAGCACCUGCCUUGGGACUCCAGUUUCCAAAUGACAACAGGAAGAAGCUCUGCUGCUAUACAGAUCUCCAGAGUGACAUUCUCAGAAGUCAUUGACUGUUUCAUGGCAGGACCAGAAAUGCUGAAAAUAGACCAAGAUUUAGUCAAUGAUUUGGGCAAGCAUCGGCUGGAAAGGAUCGACUACUUCCACCCUAAUGAUAAACAGAAAAUUUCCCAUACUGGACUCUAGCCAUAGACUGCUCACCAAGAAUCUUGGGCAAACCCAGAACUUGAUCUGAUUAACUGAAAUCUGGAUGCAUUAUCCCCUCCAAGAAGGGGAACUUGAUAAUGACAUGAUUAUUGACACAGGUUCAAGGCCAUAAGCAGACCUGAAAGGAAACCCAGCACCACCUUGAACCCUAAGUAGACUGGACUAAUAUUAAAUGGUGUGUGGACCACACCCUCUAGUCAACCCAGGACAAGAUCCCACCACAAAGGAGGGAGUCUUUAAAGGGACAAUGUAUCACCUUAAUGACCAAAGGAAAUGGACAUACCCAUGCCGGCGACCUGUUCUGAGGUCAGGCAUUAUCUCACUUCAAUUUUUUUGGGACAAAUCAUAGCCUCAUUUGUGACCCAGGUCAAAGCUCACUUUAAUGACCAGAGGAAAUGGACAUACCCAUGACGCUGACCUGGCCAGAGGUCAGUCAUUUUCUCCCAUCAAUUUAUUUUGUUGGACAAAUCAUAGCCUCAUUUGUGACCAAUCCAUGCUAUUUUACUUAGAAAUUUGGACUCAACCACAACCAUUCUUGUACUGAUGUUUGACAUAACAUCAUAGACCAUGAACUGUCAUCGAUGCUAAUCUAGAUUCUUCUUUGCGGUACCACUGUAGUUUGUGGGAUGUACCUGAUAUUCUUCCAACACAUGCAACAAACAAUCUCACAGCAGAUGGAUUAAGACCUCAUUGCUCUCUAGUAAUCUGAGCCUCACAUAAACAUCAAAUAACAAUAGCACAGCUCGGGAUCAAGGGUGUGUGGGCCGCACCCUGCAAAUCCUCUGUGCCCAGGUCUUCCUGUAUGAGGACUUUAAGAGAGCAAAGAUAAGAAGCUGAUGUGAAGUCUGACCUAGGCCACACCUACUGCUCCAAGAAGGUUGAACACACUUUAACACCAUAAGUGGGUUGUCUGAAGAAUGACAUACUCUGAGUACCUUCUACUGCCUGGGUCUAGAAUUUAAGGGUAUGUGGGCCGUACCCUGUCUCCAUAUGACCCAGUGCUACACUCACAACAACGGAGCAAGGACUAUGCAAUGACCUAUAAUGGAACAAGGAACCACUCUCCAUAGUAUCAAGAAGAAUUAGAUAGCACAGGGUCUCAUUGUGAUUCACCUGAAACCCGCCCCCCACCAUUCCAUCCAUCAAAAACCUUGGAUUCUUAAACAUGGCUUCUGCAGCUGAUGACUGAAGGACAAUCAAAAUCAGUGUGGGCUGGGGGCUAACUUAACACCAAGAAGCCUGAGUCAAGUUUAACUUUGACAGUUGUAGGCAUCAUUCUCUCUUCAUCACACCCAGGAGAUUUCUUACGUUGGAGGAUCAGGAGCACAAGCCAUGGCCAUCUGGAUAUCUGGGCCACACAAGAGAAACAAUACUAGGCAGACACUGGCAUGAUGGGUGUGUGGGCCGCACCCUGGAGUUAUUGUUUGCCCAACUGCUACCUGGUCUUCAAGAUAUCCAGGACAAGAAGAUCUCAUGUGUGUUAGCAACACCAACACCUCAGAGGAAACUGGAACCACCACAAGGACCAACACAGGCUUCAAGACCUAGCCACUCUGUUGACCUUGACCCUCAACUUGGCCACUCCAUUGACCUUGACCUUCAAUUUGAUAUGAUUAAAAACAUCAAGUAACUUAACAAUGUGAUGACCCUGGAGUACAGACACAAUUUUAAUAUGGAUGUCUAGUAGAAAACACUGAAAUUGACACUCUGGUGGAAACUAGACAUAGUUUCUUAUGUUUCCUUAGUGUCACCAGAGCCUACCUAGAAGAAGCAAGACUUAUACCCUGAUUUCUAUAGAUCUCUGCCUUUAUCUUAUGUACCUAACACAGUGUCAUCUUACAAUAUUCUUUGUCAAGUAUCUCCUGCCCUACCAUUAUGUAUAUAGUCUUCAAUAAAUAUAAGGUUUAAUUGUG